rnacentral:tRNA from 1 species
GCCUUCGUGGUGAAAUGGUCAACACAGUCGGUGCGUAUUCGAGAGGUCCGAGGUUCGAAUCCCGGCGAGGACA